rnacentral:rRNA from 1 species
UGCCAGCCGCCGCGGUAAUACUGAAGGUGCAAGCGUUAAUCGGAAUUACUGGGCGUAAAGCGCACGUAGGCGGUUGAGUAAGUCGGAUGUGAAAGCCCCGGGCUUAACCUGGGAAUUGCAUUCGAUACUGCUCGACUUGAGUAUGGUAGAGGGUAGCGGAAUUCCGGGUGUAGCGGUGAAAUGCGUAGAUAUCCGGAGGAACAUCAGUGGCGAAGGCGGCUGCCUGGACCAAUACUGACGCUGAGGUGCGAAAGCGUGGGGAGCAAACAGGAUUAGAUA